UACGUAGGGGGCUAGCGUUGUCCGGAAUCAUUGGGCGUAAAGCGCACGUAGGCGGCUUGGUAUGUCGGGUGUGAAAUCCCCGGGCUCAACCUGGGAACUGCAUCCGAAACUGCCUUGCUCGAGUAUGGGAGAGGGAAGUGGAAUUUCCGGUGUAGCGGUGAAAUGCGUAGAUAUCGGAAGGAACAUCAGUGGCGAAGGCGACUUCCUGGACCAAUACUGACGCUCAGGUGCGAAAGCGUGGGGAGCAAACAGG
rnacentral:rRNA from 1 species